GGCGAACGCUCGCGGCGCGCCUAACACAUGCAAGUCGAACGAGAGCUUGGGGGUUACCUUUCUCCAGCGAGUGGCGCACGGGUGAGCUACCCGUGAGGACCCCGUCACAACGAGGGGGAAAACAGUUUGAAACGACUGCUCAUACCGCCUAAGCCUUCGCCCCGGUAUCGGGUCGAGGGUAAAGUCGCAAUCCGCUUUGAGAUGGCCCCGCGUCCGAUUAGCUAGUUGGUCAGGUCAUGGCCCACCAAGGCGACGAUCGGUAGCCGGACUGAGAGGAUGACCGGCCACAGUGGGACUGAGACACGGCCCAGACUCCUACGGGAGGCAGCAGUGGGGAAUAUUGCACAAUGGGGGAAACCCUGAUGCAGCGACGCCGCGUGGAGGAAGAAGGCCUUAGGAUUGUAAACUCCUGUUAUUGAGGAAGAUAAUGACGGUACCCAACAAGGAAGCGACGGCUAACUACGUG
rnacentral:rRNA from 1 species